rnacentral:rRNA from 1 species
GACGAACCGUACGAACGUUAUUCGGAAUCACUGGGCUUAAAGGGUGCGUAGGCUGCGCAGCAAGUUGGGUGUGAAAUCCCUCGGCUUAACCGAGGAACUGCGCCCAAAACUGCUGUGCUCGAGGAGAUAGAGGUGAGCGGAACUUAGGGUGGAGCGGUGAAAUGCGUUGAUAUCCUAAGGAACACCGGUGGCGAAAGCGGCUCACUGGAUCUCUUCUGACGCUGAGGCACGAAAGCUAGGGUAGCGAACGGG